UGGCGAACGGGUGCGUAACGCGUGGGAACCUGCCCUUAGGUUCGGAAUAACAGUUAGAAAUGACUGCUAAUGCCGGAUAAUGUCUUCGGACCAAAGAUUUAUCGCCUUUGGAUGGGCCCGCGUAGGAUUAGGUAGUUGGUGAGGUAAAGGCUCACCAAGCCGACGAUCCUUAGCUGGUCUGAGAGGAUGAUCAGCCACACUGGGACUGAGACACGGCCCAGACUCCUACGGGAGGCAGCAGUAGGGAAUAUUGGACAAUGGGCGAAAGCCUGAUCCAGCAAUGCCGCGUGAGUGAUGAAGGCCUUAGGGUUGUAAAGCUCUUUUACCAGGGAUGAUAAUGACAGUACCUGGAGAAUAAGCUCCGGCUAACUCCGUGCCAGCAGCCGCGGUAAUACGGAGGGAGCUAGCGUUGUUCGGAAUUACUGGGCGUAAAGCGCGCGUAGGCGGCUUUUCAAGUCAGGGGUGAAAUCCCGGGGCUCAACCCCGGAACUGCCCUUGAAACUGGAUGGCUAGAAUACUGGAGAGGUGAGUGGAAUUCCGAGUGUAGAGGUGAAAUUCGUAGAUAUUCGGAAGAACACCAGUGGCGAAGGCGACUCACU
rnacentral:rRNA from 1 species